GAUGAACGCUAGCUACAGGCUUAACACAUGCAAGUCGCGGGGCAGCAUGGGGGUUGCUUGCACUCCCCGAUGGCGACCGGCGCACGGGUGAGUAACGCGUAUCCAACCUGCCCUUCACCACGGGAUAACCCGGCGAAAGUCGGACUAAUACCGUAUGUUGUCCAUUGACGGCAUCCGAUUUGGACGAAAGGUUUGGCGGUGAAGGAUGGGGAUGCGUCCGAUUAGCUGGACGGCGGGGUGACGGCCCACCGUGGCGACGAUCGGUAGGGGUUCUGAGAGGAAGGUCCCCCACACUGGAACUGAGACACGGUCCAGACUCCUACGGGAGGCAGCAGUGAGGAAUAUUGGUCAAUGGGCGUAAGCCUGAACCAGCCAAGUAGCGUGCAGGAGGACGGCCCUAUGGGUUGUAAACUGCUUUUAUGCGGGGAUAAAGUGGCCCACGUGUGGGUUUUUGCAGGUACCGCAUGAAUAAGGACCGGCUAAUUCCGUG
rnacentral:rRNA from 1 species